GAUGAACGCUGACAGCAUGCUUAACACAUGCCAGUCAACCUGAAAUUGGGUUUUUAACUUAGGUUCGGGAGGCGGACGCGUGAGUAACGCGUAAAGAACUUGCCUCACAGCUAGGGACAACACUUGGAAACGAAUGCUAAUAUCCAAUAUUAUGAUAAUAGGGCCUUCUAUAGUUAUGAAAGCUAUAAGCGCUGUGAGAGGGCUUGGCGUCUCAUUAGCUAGUUGGUGAGGUAACGGCUCACCAAGGCGUUGAUGGGUAGCCGGCCUGAGAGGGUGAUCGGCAACAAGGGAACGGAAUCAGGGCCCGUACCCUAACGGGAGGCAGCGGUGGGAAAAUUGGGACAAGGGACCGAGAGUCUGAUAGAGAAGUUCUGUGUGCGAGAUGAAGUUUUUCGGAGUGUAAAGCGCUUUCAGUUGAGAAGGAGCGAAUGACGGUACCGACAGAAGAAGUGACGGCUAAAUACGUG
rnacentral:rRNA from 1 species